rnacentral:rRNA from 1 species
AUUGAACGCUGGCGGCAUGCUUUACACAUGCAAGUCGAACGGUAACAGGCCGCGAGGUGCUGACGAGUGGCGAGCGGGUGAGUAAUGCAUCGGAACGUGCCCAGUCGUGGGGGAUAACGCAGCGAAAGCUGCGCUAAUACCGCAUACGAUCUGUGGAUGAAAGCGGGGGACCGUAAGGCCUCGCGCGAUUGGAGCGGCCGAUGUCAGAUUAGGUAGUUGGUGGGGUAAAGGCUCACCAAGCCAACGAUCUGUAGCUGGUCUGAGAGGACGACCAGCCACACUGGGACUGAGACACGGCCCAGACUCCUACGGGAGGCAGCAGUGGGGAAUUUUGGACAAUGGGCGCAAGCCUGAUCCAGCAAUGCCGCGUGCAGGAAGAAGGCCUUCGGGUUGUAAACUGCUUUUGUACGGAACGAAAAGGCUCUGGUUAAUACCUGGGGCUCAUGACGGUACCGUAAGAAUAAGCACCGGCUAACUACGUGCCAGCCGCCGCGGUAAAAC